GGCAGUUCUUAGGUUAUCCACCCCGGAAUCUGGCUCCCUCCUUUCUGGUUCUGGGUGCAUCACCUGAGAACUACA
rfam:Myotis lucifugus cont2.14249, whole genome shotgun sequence.